UACGCAUCGGAUCCCCGCCUCAACAGGCCACCUAGUCCAACGAGCCCCAUUCCAAUUCGGCAAUUCCCAUUUCCCCUUCCCAACAGGCCAACCCCCUCUACCUAUCUUUUUCCUCAGCAACCGUGCUCGGUUCCUCCUCCCUCGAAACGGCUCCCACCCCCGCGCCGCGAUAAGAAAACCCACCAAACCCUAACCCUAGCAGCGGUGCCACAACCGCCCGCGUUCCCGGCCGGAGAGGAAGCCGAGCCAGCAAGGAUGCCGCCCGGGUCGGCGACGCAAUUUCGGUACACGCAGACGCCGUCCAAGGUGCUGCAUCUUCGGAACAUGCCAUGGGAGUGCACCGAGGAGGAGCUCGUCGACCUCUGCAAACCCUUCGGCCGGGUCGUAAACACCAUGUGCAACGUCGGCGCUAACCGCAACCAGGCAUUCGUCGAGUUUGCAGAUCAAAACCAGGCAAUUUCAAUGGUGUCCUAUUAUGCUUCAUCUUCAGAACCUGCUCAAGUUCGUGGUAAAACUGUAUAUAUCCAAUAUUCAAACAGGCAAGAAAUUACUAACAAUAAAGGCACUGGGGAUUCUUCUGGCAAUGUUCUACUUGUCACUUUUGAAGGUGUUCAGCCUAAUGAUGUUACCAUAGAAGUUAUUCAUUUGGUUUUUUCGGCAUUUGGGUUUGUUCACAAGAUAGCUACUUUUGAGAAAGCAGCUGGUUUCCAGGCACUUAUCCAGUAUACUGAUGCCCCAACUGCUCUUGAAGCUAAAAACUCAUUGGAUGGAAGAAGCAUCCCAAAAUAUUUACUUCCAGAACAUAUCGGUGCCUGCCACAUGCGCAUAACCUUUUCUGCGCAUAAGGAUUUGAAUAUCAAAUUUCAGUCGCAUCGCAGCAGGGAUUACACCAAUCCUUACCUUCCUGUGAACCAAACAGCAAUUGAGGGGAUUGUGCAGCCCACGGUGGGCCCUGAUGGGAAGGUAAAGGAGCCUGAGAGCAAUGUACUUUUAGCAUCAAUUGAGAACAUGCAAUAUGCUGUGACAGUGGAUGUUCUGCACACUGUGUUUUCUGCUUUUGGAGCUGUUCAAAAAAUUGCAAUGUUUGAGAAGAAUGGUGGAAUGCAGGCUCUAAUCCAAUAUCCAGAGAGGUGUCGGAGUUCGUGAAGGCUUAAAAUGGACAUCUGCAACUUUCCACAGCUAUAAAGUUGUUUUUAAUAUAACUACCGCAGCCGUUGCUAAACAAGCUUUGGAGGGACACUGCAUAUAUGAUGGUGGUUACUGCACAUGAUGAGAGAAGCAGGGACUACACUCUUUCAGACCCUAACGUGCAGCUGCAAGCUGCUGCACAAACGCCAGUUCUAAGGUCUCCGGGAGUGGCAUGGCAGAACACUGCAUCAGUACCAGCUGCUCCUUUUUAUGCAAGCACAGCGACUUCAACUCCUAUUGGAGUUGGACAGGUGGCUGCUUGGAAUCCUAACAUGCAGGCAGGGAGUUUUGCAUCUGCAUCGACUGCAUACCCCAACCAACCAUUAAUGGCCAACUCCAUGCCUCACUAUCCUGCUAUUGGAUCGAGUUCCGGUGCCCCACCAGUAGCAUUUCAGGCUUCGCAGCAGAUGACACAGUAUAGCAUGCCCCCUGGUGCUCCGCCGCACGCACCACCAGCUGGCCAAUCGAUUUACUACCCGAAGUAAGCGGUUUUGGUUCAAUAUUAUCAGAGAGCAAUCAGGCAUUGUUACCUGCGACAAUUGUGGUCCGCAAAUGCAAUCUUGCGAAUUUUGCAAGUGCGCUGUAGCACUUGUAACUUGCGAGCGCCCUUCGCAAGAAUGCAUCAGCGUCUGCUGUGUCUGUAAAACUGUCAAAGAUAGUGUUUACCUAUUAGCUUGCAUGGUAUAUUGGUGGUGAGAUAUGUUGGAGUAGUUUUGAUGCCUCAAGAAUCUCUUACGCAUCUUUUUUUUUUAAAAAAAACUGCGCUUUGCUUUU